rnacentral:lncRNA from 1 species
ACUGUCUUGUUUUUGAAAUCAAAGAUCAUUUUCAUUGUUUUGUUUUGUUUUUUCAUUUUAUUCUUCAAAAUUUAAAAACAAAAUCUCUCACUAAGCCUAUAAUCCAUUUUCUGGUUUAGAAGAUAUCACUAUGUUGAUUUGAGACUUAGAAAAGCACUCCCGGGGUAGCAGAAACUUGGAGAAUAUGGUAUAAAAGAGUCUCCUGCAUCUCUAGGGCAAAUGACGCACAUAAAGAGCAGAAACAGUGGUUUUGGCAACAGUCCCCCUGUCCUGUACCCUCGGGAAGACACGAAUGGCGCUAACAGGAACCCACCCCGGUGCAGCAUUCACAGCCAGCCAGCUCUGUGCCUGUCAGUCCUGCGCCCAGCCACAGCCACUCACUGUUCUGUGUUCUGUUUCCCCUCGGCAUGGGACAGCAGAGGUGCUGACGACCAGCCAACCAACUGGAUAGUGAAUGAGUCUAUGCUCCAAGGGAGAAGGUAAGUCCUGGAGCUUUGUCAGCUUUGGGGAGAAACAACGCAAGCUCUACCAACUCCAA